rnacentral:lncRNA from 1 species
UUAGAUGUAUUGCACUUGUGUGCAUCGUAUUUGAUCAUGUAUGUUAUUUAAGCAAAUUCCUGGGUGCUUAAUUGUACAUGAUUUGGUUGCUUAGCCUUGGGCGGACAGGAGAGGUGCUGUCCGUUCGGCGUCCGUCCGCCGCGCCCGAACCGGACCAAAUUGAUAGCGGUAUCGGGGCGGGGGCGUGACAGAGUUGUUGGUAUCAGAGCAAUUAAGAGCAAGUAAAGAGAGAGUUUAGGAUGGACCUAGGAGACCUAGGUUGGCAACCCUAAGGUGAUAAGUACGUGAGAGAAACGUAAACCUAUAUUGGUUGAGGAAGAAUCCGAUUAGGUCGGAUCGAGUAUAGAUCUCUAGUGUGGCUAGAGAUAGAUCCGAGCGGUGUUAGUUCUGAGCUCGAGGAGUUUGUGUUGGCGGCCGACAACAUGACGCUAAGAGUUAGGACUAAUACAAUGGUGUACGUCCGCUUAUGGCGGAGUUGAGUCGCGUAAUAUAGUAUAUGCGACGGAGUUAAGUGGGUUAGAUGACUAACCUGGUUGUUGCGUUGCAGGAACAAUGUCCCCAAGAUGCUACGUGCGUAGGUCCGUUCCGGCACCAUCUCCUGAGAUGCCCGAGGAAGCCGGAUCUAGUGAAGUACAGGAACUACGGGCGCAGGUGUCGGUAUUGACCGGCAUUGUACAGCGCCAGGAGAGUCGAUUCAAGCAGCUCCAAGGGCUUAUGGAGCGGCAUUUUGCGGCGGCAACUGCAGCUGCGACUGAGGGCCGUGAUCCGCCCCCGCCUCCAACUCGUGCGCCUACGGCGGCUGAGGGCGAGGGCAUUGCGGCAGUUCCGGUGGCGGCACGUCCUCCGCCGGCGAGCGUUCCUCCGGCGGCGUCGGGUUCUACGACACCCGAUGCGACGGCAUUGGAGGCAGAGAGGGAGAACGCGCUUGCGGCUCUCGAGAAGUUCCGAAAGUUCAAUCCACUGACCUUCGAGGGAGAGAAGGUCGAGCCAUGGAUGGUUGAGUCGUGGGUGGACUCAAUGGAGACCUUGUUCGAGGGCCUCUACACGUUGGAGAGGGACAAGGUCUACCUCGCCACUCAUUGUUUGGAACAAACGGCGAAGGUUUGUUGGAAGCGAAUCAAGAGAAACCGAGCUUCCGACCUUCCGCCGUUGACGUGGGAGAAGUUUCGGGGAUUGUUCUAUGUCAACUACUUCCCCGAUAGCGAGAAAAAGAAGCUCAAAGAGCAACUUCGGAAGUUGAAGCAAGGUAGUCGCACGGUAGCGGAAUUUGAGCGGGAGUUCUCUCACAUCAUUGACUGCGUCCCCGACGUAGUGCGGGAUGACAGGGAUCGAGCCGAUUGGUUCGAGCGAGGGCUCCGGGCUGAUAUCUACCGGGCGAUGCACAUUUUGAAGCUCACUAUUUUCGCGGAGGUGCUCGACAGAGCGUUGUGGGCGGAGCAAGGAAAUACUCACAUCCGGGAGGAGCGAGAGGCGUUCGAGAAGGACGGUGGCAAGAAACGGGCUCAAGGCAAUUCAGGAGCUCAAUUGAGGUCAAGGAAGCCCCCGAAGUACCCGCGAACGCAAUCCAAGGGCCGCGGACCGCAGCGGUGCACGAUCUGUGGUAGGAACCAUGAGCCGAGGACGUGUGAUCAGCGGGAGGGGAAGUGGUUCACGUGUGGACAGGCGGGCCAUAUCAGCCGCUACUGUCCAGUGAGGGCUUCGCCUGCCCCUUCGGUCGCAUCGACUCCGGCGACUCCGGCGCAUUAUAAAGGAGUCCUACCUGCUGCGUCAUCGGCUGGACUUGCGAUGGUACCACGCCAGCCUGAGGCGACGAGAUCUGCUUCGAGCGGGCGGGUGUUCGCCGCCCAAACUCAAGACGAGGAACCUGCUGAGGCGGAGAAUCGACAUGUGUUCGCAGGUAUGGUUUUAAUUGACGGAGUUCGCUCCAGGGCUAUGUUUGAUACAGGCGCUACACAUUCGUUCAUCAGUAGGUCAUUUGCACGCAUGCAUAACAUAGAACUACAAGAGAGUAAAAGCACUUGGAGAGUAUCGGGCCCCGGACGUGAUUUUCUAGUCUGUAAGGAGUGUUCGUCUUGUCCGGUGCGGUUGGGCGAUUGGAUAAUGCCCAUCCGUAUGUUGGUGCUUAAGAAGUUGAAAGACUUCGACGUCAUCUUAGGAAUGGAUUGGCUCUCGAAAUACUAUGCGACUAUUCACUGCAGAAGUAAAGUGAUUACGUUUCGCGAGCCGGGCUAGGAAGAGUUCGUCUACCGGGCUUGUAGAAGCCCAUACUUCGCCGCCACGGCAUCGGCGACGAGAGCAAGGAAGUUAGUCAACAACGGUUGUACGGCCUACUUGGCGACCGUUGUAGAAGUCGAGAGGACGACUCCUACGCUCGAGGAGCUGUCUGUGGUUCGGGAAUUUCUAGAUAUAUUUCCCGCGGAGUUACCGGGAAUGCCGCCAGACCGAAAAAUCGAGUUCGUGAUAGACUUGGUUCCAGGAACCGCGCCUAUCUCGAAGGUUCCGUAUCGGAUGGCGCCGGCGGAAUUGAAGGAGUUGUGGGCUCAGUUAUUGGAUCUCCUUGAUAAGGAAUUUAUACGGCCAAGUGUAUCGCCGUGGGGAGCCCCGGUUCUAUUCGUGCGAAAGAAGGACGGAUCGUUUCGACUCUGCGUAGAUUAUCGCGAGUUGAACAAAGUCACGAUCAAGAACAAGUACCCCUUGCCAAGGAUUGACGAUCUGUUUGAUCAGUUGCAAGGGUCUCGAGUUUAUUCAAAGAUUGACCUGCAAUCCGGUUAUCACCAACUCAAGAUUAAGCCGGAAGAUGUGCAAAAGAUCGCGUUUCGCACGUGGUAUGGACUAUGAAUUCACGGUCAUGCCGUUUAGGCUUACUAACUCCCCGGCAACGUUCAUGGAUCUGAUGAAUUGUGUCUUCAAGGAGUAUUUGGACCGAUUUGUCGUGGUCUUCAUAGAUGAUAUCUUGGUCUACUCUCGUAGCGACGAGGAACAUGCUGAGCAUUUGAGAAUAGUGCUUCAAGUCCUACAGGAGGAGAAGCUGUAUGCUAAGUUUAAGAAAUGCGACUUUUCGCUUUAAGAGGUUGCAUUUCUUGGGCAUGUUAUUUCCGAGGGUGGAGUAUUUGUUGACCCGAGGAAAGUGGAGGCGAUCAAGGAUUGGCCUCGCCCGACUAACGUCACGGAAGUUCGAAGCUUCGUGGGUUUAGUGGGUUAUUAUAGACGGUUCGUGGAGAGAUUCUCGAAGAUCGUGGGUCCACUUACUCGUCUGACUCGGAAAGGCACCAAGUUCAUUUGGAGUGACGAGUGCGACCGGAGUUUUCAAGAGUUGAAGGAUAGAUUAACUUCGACUCCGGUGCUCGCCUUACCGGUGCAAGACGAAGACUUUGUGGUGUAUAGCGACGCGUCACAUUCGGGCUUAGGGUGUGUGCUGAUGCAAGGCGGGAAGGUGAUCGCUUAUGCGUCCCGUCAGCUGAAGAGCUAUGAGAAGAAUUACCCUGUCCACAAUUUAGAGUUGGCCGCAGUGGUGUUUGCCCUCAAGUUAUAGAGGCACUACUUGUAUGGUGCGCGUUACGAGAUAUACACAGACCACAAGAGUCUAAAGUACAUAUUCACGCAAAAGGAGCUCAAUAUGCAUCAGCGGCGGUGGUUGGAACUGCUGAAGGAUUUCGAUGUGACGAUCCUAUACCACCCCGGAAAAGCAAAUGUGGUGGCCGACGCACUUAGCAGAAAGUCAGUGGAGAAUCUUGCUAUGUUGGUCACACAUCAGGAGCCACUGUGGAGAGAGAUGGAGCGAUUAGAUCUCGAAGUGGUCGCUCCGGAAAUCCCAUCUAUGCUUACGGCUCUCGUUGCCCAACUGACCUUGUUGGAGCGGAUUAAGAAUUUGCAACCUGCGGACCCCAAUCUCCAAAAGGUGCGGCGAGACAUCGAGAGUAGACACGGCGGUGAUUUCAGUGUAGACGCUGAGGGUGCGCUUCGGUUUCGAAACUGAUGGUGCGUACCGGAGAACGAGGAGGUCCGAAAGUUAAUAUUGUAAGAGGCACAUCGGACUCCUUAUAAUAUUCACCCCGGCAGCACCAAGAUAUACCGUGAUCUGAAGAUGCAGUAUUGGUGGUUGGGCAUGAAAGCAGAGAUUGGGCGCUAUGUAGCGCAGUGCCUAAUAUGCCAACAAGUGAAGGCUGAGCGUCGAUUUCCAGCGGGAAAGCUCCAAAGUUUACCUAUCCCCGUUUGAAAAUGGGAGAAUAUAGCUAUGGACUUCGUGGUCGGAUUGCCCCGUUCGAUGGGUGGCCACGACGCGAUCUGGGUGAUUGUGGAUCGUAUGACCAAGUCGGCACACUUUCUACCAAUUCACACCACCUGGUCGGGCGACAAGUUGGCGCAGAUAUACUUGGAUGACGUUGUGAGGUUGCACGGGGUUCCGAAGUCGAUCGUGUCAGAUCGAGACCCCCUUUUUACUUCGCACUUUUGGAAAAGCCUGCAAGAAGCACUUGGCACACGGCUCGAUUUCAGCACCGCGUUUCAUCCUCAAACAGAUGGACAGUCAUAGAGGACUAUAUAGAUUCUGGAGGAUAUGUUGCGGGCGUGUCAUUGACUAAAAGGGUAGUUGGGCAAACCAUUUGAGGAUGGCCGAGUUCGCCUACAAUAACAGUUAUCAAGUUAGCAUUGGUAUGGCAACGUUCGAGGUCCUAUAUGGACGGAAGUGCCGAUCCCCUAUAUGUUGGAGCGAUGUAGGUGAACCUACGGCAUUGAGCCCAGACAUAUUGCGAGAGGCGGAAGAGAAGGUCCGUCUCGCUCGCGAGAGGCUACUUACGGCACAGUCGAGGCAAAAGAGCUAUUCUGAGAAACGCCGUAGAGAUUUGGAAUUCACGAUAGGUGACCGCGUUUUCCUGAAGGUUUCGCCGAUGAGAGGUGUGAAACGCUUCGGAGUGCGAGGAAAGCUAAGUCCCCGAUAUAUCAGACCGUUCGAAGUGUUGGAACGUAUUGGAGUAGUAGCAUAUAGACUAGCAUUACCGCCGAAGCUCGCGGGCGUGCAUAAUGUGUUCCACGUCUCCAACCUUUGCAAGUAUAUUUCCGAUCCUGAGCAUGUUAUGUACUACGAACCGCCGGAUCUACAAGAGGAUUUGAGCUAUAAAGAAUUUCCGGCGAUGAUUAUUGCUCGAGAAGUGCGGAAAUGGAGGAAUCGUGAGAUUCCCUACGUGAAGAUUCGUUGGACCAAUCACAGAGAUAGUGAGGCUACGUGGGAACUCGAGGAAUCGAUGAAAGUGCAUUAUCCUCAUCUUUUCACAGAAAUGCAAUGAGGUAUGAGUUGUUGAAUUCGUUUCAAGGACGAAACUCCUUUUUAUGAGUGGAGGAGUAAGGAAGUGAAUUCUCGAAAUACGAGAGUUAGACUUCGUUCAAAAUCAACCAAGGGUCGUGUUGGUGAGCUUAGGAAAAGCCAAAGAUGUCAAAAUCACCAAAAAUGCAUUGGAAACGAGUUCACGAGAGCAAAUAGUGCAAAACCUGCACUGGAGCAAAACUGCUCUCGGGGACCGGUCCCUGGCAGGGAGGGACCGGUCUCAUCGGCUAGUAGUUGCAGGGAUCCUUGAGGCAACCGAUUCCUGACAAGGAGAGACCGGUCCCCGAACGUGACCCUAGUGAGAAAAGCCAAAAUUUGACUAAGUCCCGAAAAUCCCGCUCUCGGGAACCGGUCUCUCGGUCAAGGACCAGUCUCCCGGGGACCGGUCUCUCAGGGAAGGAUCGGUUCCCGAACGCGUGACCCGAGCUGAAGCUCUCCGGGACCGGUCCCAAGUCGGGGAGACCGGUGUAAGAAAAUUAAGUGUACGCAGCGGAAGAAAAUAACAUAAUUAAAAAUUUUUCUUGAAAACCAAAGAUCACCUCGUGUUUCGUUUUAUAUCAUUAGUAAUAGAUCUAAUUGAUCUAAUAAAAAAGAAUCUAUAUUUUAUUUUACCUCGCGCGGGUCGAGAUCACCACGAAGUCAACAAUCGUUGGUAAAAUUUGUUCGUCCUCGGUUAGCCGCGCACGCGCUCGGCCUCUACUCGUGUCCACACGAAAUCACGCCCUUGAUCGAAUUAGACGACCGCUUCAAUCCGUCCCUUGCGUUGACUUGAGAAAGAUGAAUCAAUCUUCUAGAUGUGCUAGCAACUUUUUAAAGAUCGAAACCGAUGAAUUAACUGUGGAGAACUUGAGGAAGAAAGAGGAUUGACGACUUGGGUUUUCUAUUUCUCUUGUAUUAAUUUCCAUUAAUUUUAAUGUCAUAUGACAUAUAUUUAUAAUGAGAAAACCCUAACGUAAUCCUAAUCAAAAUCCUAUUCCGAUUAGAUUAUCCAUUAACCCACAAGUUGGUUAUAAUAUUAACCGAAUUCCGAAUCCUAAUUCUAAUUCGAUUCGUGUGUAACAUUUACACAUAAGUCCUCAUAUUAUUUACUAACGAUUAGUAAAUACACCAUGCAACUUUUACAUAUAAAUACCUCUAAUUUGCAACAAUUGCAAAUUAGUCCUUUUACUAAUAAAUUAGUAAACUUUAGUAUUUAACCAUAUUGUAAUUAUAAUUAAUCCAUCCGAUAAACUUCUUUUAUCGUCUCCUAAAUAUCGAUCAUGCACGAUUUCUUAUGUGUGUGACCUAAUAGGUUCAAUUCUGUCUGGUAGUGAGAUAUGAUGCGAUCCCUAUCUACAUCAUCAUCGAAACUCCUUUCGAUGGCUCAAACUCUUUUGACUCUGCCCUAAUAGAAUAAUUAAUUGCUAAUUAUUUCUAUUGGUUCCCACAAUCCACCAGUGACGCCUAGCAGCAUGUAGUGGCAAUCCAGUCAGAAGUGAAUAUCGGAUUAAACCUCUAGGUGCAAUUACCGUACAAUACAAUCCUUCUAUCGCAUAGUUCCAACUGAGUGAAGGUCAUGGAAUAUUCGUUAAACCCCAUCACCCGUCAUAUGACAAAUUUGAUCAGACAGAAGCUCUUAUGGUUACUCUUGGAAACAUCUUUCCAUACACCAUGUUACCCCAGCCGAGGAUUUCUGAGCUUUGCCUUACAAAUAGUAUAGAACUAAUUAUCUCUCUACCGAGAGCGAUAGAUCCCCUAUAAACACACCCAUUCCUGAUAUGAACCGACCGCAGCCAAUAUAUACUACUAAGACCCAUGGCUAGGAUCAGAGUUUGUUGCAUAGUCAAACUACAGUAGCCUCAUAUUGAAUGGCCGUGGUGUCGCAGGUCUAAGGAUCAGUUGUACCACUGCAACAUCGAACCAGUUACUGACGAAUGAGUAGACAUCCAAGUAACUGUUCGUAGUUGGUCACGCUCAGUACCUUUGUUCUCCAACAACCACCUGCAUGUUCGCUCCAGUGUCCCCACACUGAUGACUCGAGAUUCGUCAUCCCAAAGGGAAGCGACACACAUAUCAAUCUUACCGAAUCAAUCAUCGUCCCCAUAAUAAUCCUCCGAUUGAGAGCAUUUAUGAAUUAAUCACCAAUAAUAUGUAUCUCAAAUUUUCAACUCUUGAGAAUACAUAUUAUCAUCUUAUUAAUUCAAAGGACGAUUCAUGGACACAUUUAACAUGAAUGGAAUAAAAGACCCAAUUAUAUAAAUAAUAAAGAUUAAGUACAAAAAUAUGUCUCAUAGAACAUAAAAUGCGUCAGCCUGAUAGGCUUAUAGGGCAUACAACUAACAACCGGUUCCUCUGGGCGGAAAAUGCCCAGUGAGGGGUAGUGCAUAGAGAUGAAAGUUGAGGGACUUAUUGGGAUAUUGUUACAAUAGAGGGCUUAAGGGUCUCUCUCUUCCUCUCAUUUUCUCAUUUCACUCUCCCCCUCUCUCACGCUCUCUUUAUCCCUUUCUCUCUCUAGAAGGGAAAGAACAAAAGAGAAGAAGAAGAAGAAAAGAGAAGGAAAAAAAGGAGGAAAAGGAUGGAGAAGAAGAAGAUCAAGCUUGGGAGGCUUUUGGACCUCUCCCUCUUCUUCUCUUUUCAUUUGGAAGCUACACAAGAGGUAGGCUUCUAACCCUAGCUUAUGAAACUUAGGGUUUUUGGGUUUUGGGUUUUGGAAAUGGGGUCAAAUGGACCCCUAGCACCAUUGUUGGUAGAUUGAAGCUAAAGUUAGGGUUCCAAAUUGCAAAUGGCAAGAUGGGAACCCUAGGGCUCCAAAAGAGGGUUUUUCGUAAAGUAUGAGAUUGAUCUCAUUUGAGACCUUGUAAACCUAAUUCGUAGAUGCCAAAACGCGGGGGCGAAGUCCGAUUUAGCAUUCGUCAAGUGGGUCAAGAGCUAUCGGCAAAAUAAGGCCGAUUGAGCAUCAUUUUGGACCAAGAAGACCGAGACUUCGUCGUAACGUCCGUUGGAGGGCAUUUCUAGAGCCUCCAUACCCUCAAGAGGUGGGGGGUGUCAUUCCGAAGCAUCCGGGUUUCCUUUUAUAUCUAAGUUAAUUUUAUUCAUCAUAUGUGGAUUGUGCAUUAUAGGAUUAGUAGAAGUAUAUUUCUAUUCCUUGCAUGCUUAUUUAGUAGUGUAGCGGUAUGGGCUUAACACUUGGACUAGGGAGGCAUGAGGAUUGGGUCUUGAGACAAAGAAUCCUAUAGUGGCAAAAGAGAUGAACUUGGACAUAGCCUAGUAGAGUGGUAUUGAACUAGUGUAGUAGAAACACUAAACAAGAACGAGUGGCGUGUCAACUAACUAGAAAACUUACUACAAUGAUCGAACGAGUGGCAUCAAGUCUAGUGUAGUAAACAUGACAUGGUUCUAGGGAUAGUAGAGAUCUCAGCAUCUAGGAUGCAUUGUAUAUUGUGCAGUAGAGGCACGUUGCCCUUGUAGAUAGGGUAUCCUCUUGUGAGGAUUGGAUCAUACUCACUAGUUUGUUUUCGCUGUCGGUGGUCGCUCCACCGUGGCACGAGUCUCCGGAGUACUUCACUAGGGGCAGACGUAAUUGUCCCGUAGACGGUCUCGGUAUGCGAGUGCAGCUUCUCCUCGCCUAUGAGAUUGAGAGUGAGUCGAGGGUUUAACCUACGGGUUAACCAAGUAGAUUGGGUAAUAAACAUGGAAUGCAUAGUAGAUUUGCAUUAUUAUCUUGAGUAGACAUAGUGUAUGUUGUAGUUUACAUUACUAUGCACUUUUAUAUACUCAUGACAUAAUACUAGCAUGAUAGUAGUUGUUGCAUGCAUUAUUAUCAUUGAUGGCAUGAUAGAGUAGUUGCAGUUUAUUUCUACAUAUCUAUCUAUCUCUCUAUCUGUGCCAGCUUAGACCUAGUGGGAAAACCGGCGGCGUCGGCGGCCGAACCCACUGGGAACUAUAUUUAUAUAGUUUUCACUCUAUGUGGUUUUGGACUACAGGUACACACAGGGGCGAGCCGAGCGAGGAUCGCGGCAAGGGCAUAGCGCCCUAAGUGAGUUAGUUAGUAGCAUUCCGUUGUGCAUUAGAGUACCCUCGUGUACUAGAUACCAUGUAUAUUUUGGAUAGAAAUUGGAGAGCCAUGAUGUAUUUUGGAAAAUAUGUAUUUACAUUUUGGAAGAUGAAAAUGUAAUGUAAUCAAAUGAUGUAACUAUUGAAUGGUUGUAAUAGUUAGACUAUCUCUCUUUAUACACUGGUAUUGUAACAUACCAGAUUUUGGUAUAAAAAUAAAAAUAAAUAAAAAUAGUGUGAGAAACUAUUUUUAUUGGAUUUAUAGAAGUAAAACAUAAGUCAGAAGUGACUUGUGCUGAAAUCGGAAUGAAAACAGAAUAUUUAGAAUUUUCUGUUGGAAACGGGACAGAUAAAUUAGCAGAAAAUGUACAAUCUCAGAAAAUUAUGAAAAUUGGAGGAUAUGUCGGAAAUAUUUUUAUGAUGCUAGAUUUAAAGUUUCAUAUUAUUCUGAUCGGAAAUAUUUUUAUGAUGCUAGAUUUAAAGUUUCAUAUUAUUCUGACACCCGUAGAGUGAGAAAUAAAAUCCAACAGCUAUCUGAUAAAGAUUACAGUUCGGUACAGUUUUCAGUGACCAAACGAGGUCGAAACUGGAAACUUAAGAUAUAUUCUUACUCAGUACGUUAAAUCGAGCCUGCCUGUCAAAUUUGAGCCCAAACGGAAACUCAAAAGGGCUCCAACUGUUCCGAACUGCUAAACUGCUGCUUGGAGUGAAUAGUAUUGGAGGGUGUUGACUAAAGAAGCUGAUGCUUCUUCUUCUUCCUUCAGCCGUGCACACCCACACACACCUCACGCACGCAUGGAGGGAGAGGGAAAACCCUCCUUUCUCUCUCUAGAUUCCUCUCUCAUCUCUUUAUAUUUAUCGCUCAAAUUCGCGGCGUUGGUGGAGAAGAUGCUCGUGAACGCGUUGGGAGCGACGGAUCGAGCUUUCGUGCACCCGUUGGAGCGGCGUGUUUUCGUCGCGGCGUUCACAUUGUGGUAAGCUUUUGGGAUUUGGCUUAAUCCUUCACAUUAAGUGUUCUAAUGCCCUCUAAUGAGCUUUGUUAGCGUGUUGCUAUAUUUAAUUUAGAUUAUUUGGAGGUUAAUUCAUGUUAGAGCUCAAAAAUGAAGUUUUGUAAAAUAUGAGGGUUUGAUCUCAUUUGACCUUACGUAAACCUAAUUGCUAGGUAAACGAACGCGAUGGCGAAGUCGGUUCGGCGAUUCAUCGAGCCAUUGCGAAGUUAUUAAAGAAACGGACGUUUAGGCUUUGUUUCCGCCUGGAGGGCCGAGGCGACAUCGUAAACCCAUGAAAACGGAUUUGAAGCAUCGUGGCACAUAACCGAAAACCUUUAAUUUCCGGAUCAUGGAUUGGAGGCCGUUCAGGUGGUCGCGCGAGAGAUCAGGCCAAACCGGGUGUCGGGUGCCGCGGGAGGGCGAUUGCAAGUGUCGACAAGCAAUCGGAAUGCGAAAUGAGGUGGGUUGUGCUUACCGAAGCGACUAGGUCGCCUGUAUGUCUAAGUAAAGUGAAUUCAUAUUGAUGUAUAUAAAUGCUAGAUGGAUGCAUGUAGUAAAUGCUAAAGAAAAUGCAUGCUAAAGAUGUAAUAUAGAAAUGCUAGAAUGCAUGAUGAUGUAAUAUAAAUGAUGCUAGUUAAAAGCAUGAGAUAAAUGAUAUUUGCAUGUUAACAAAAAGUAGAGAACAUGCUAGUUGUAAAGUAUAAUGAUAAGUUGUAAAGGAUGCUAAAUAAAUGCAUGAAUGAUGUGGUAUAGAAAUGAUAGAAUAUAUGCAUUGGUUAAUAAUAGUUGGAUGCAUGUCAUGGAAAUGCUAAAUGUAAGCAUAUGGCUAAUACUAAAAUAUACUUGAUAAUCAUGUUAUAGAGAUACUAAUGUUAAAAAAAGGAUAUGGGCAUGCGGACAUAUAUAUAUAUAUAUAUAUAUAUAUAUAUAUAUGCACGUAGAUCGAGUGGCAUUAAACCUAGAGUCAUGGACAUAGGUUGAACAUGGAUGAUAUGAACCUAGUGUGAAUAAAUAUAGGUUGGACAUGAACCUAGUGUUAAAGAACAUAGGUUGGACAUCAAGUGGCAUUAAACCUAGUGUCUUGAACAUAGGUUGAACAAGUAUAGUGUGAACUUAGUGUCAUGAACCUAACAAACACUUGUAGCAUUUGAGUAUAUAUAUUUUGUAUCAUUCAUGCAUGAUAGGGCUAAGUACAUGUGAAUCUUGAUUGCUUUCAAUGACAUAUUUCUAACGAAGUUGAACAUAGAGAAAGGUAGAACCAUAAUGGACAUGUAUGUUAGGACCCUAUUAUUUUGUGAAUGUGAGAGUUGGACUUGGACAUUAGUAAACAAAGGUGACAUGGACAAUAGAGACAUUGAUUGGCAUAGAGAACAUAGUUGUUAAACAUAGUUUAACCAAGAGUGGCAUUGAGGCAAGAAUGACCUAGAGAGAGGCAUGAAUAAAUAGGUAGAAAACCUAUUAUGAUUGUGGCAUUUGUGGCAUUGUGGCUUAUGGCUAUACAUUCCUAAAUUGGGAAUUGGAUAUACUCACACUGAGAAGGUGUUUGGCUUAGCUUUUAAAAAGCACUUUUGGGCUGAAAAGUGAUUUUCGGCUCAAUAGAGCGUUUGGCAACUCACUUUUAAAAUCUGAUUCUGCUUUUAAGAAUCAGAAAACUGAUUUUGAAGGCCCCAGAAUCAGAAGCAGAAAAAAACUGCUUCUUAAAAUCUGAUUCUGAUUUUGGAUUAAAACUUUAAUUUUUUAUUUUUAUUUUAAUUUCAAUAUUUAAAUUUAAAUUUUAUUUUAAUUUUUAAUUUUCAGAUUUAUUUUUAAAAUUUUAAAUUUUAACAUUUAAAUUUUAAAUUUUGAAAAAUAAAUUUCAAAUUUUAAAUUUUAAUUUAAAAUUUCAAAUCGCAAAUUUUAGAUUUCAAAUUUUCAAAUUUGAAAUUUGAAAUUUCAAAUUUCAAAUUCAAUUGAAAUUUGAAAUUUGAAAUUUGAAUGUAAAAAAUUUAAAAUUUUUAAAUUUCAAAUUAUAAUUUUUAAUCUUCAAAUUAUAAAUUUUAAAAUUUUAAAUUUUAAAUUUAACCUUUGAAAUUUAAAAUUAAAAUUUAUAUUUUUAAAUAUUAAUAUUUAAUAUAUUAUAUUUUAUAAUUAUUUAUAUUUUUAAAUUUAAAUUUUAAAUUUCAAAGGUUAAAUUUAAAAUUUAAAUUUUAAAUUUCAAAUUUUAAAUUUAAUAUUUUAAAUUUUAUAAUUAUUUUAAAUUUAAAUUUUUAAAUUUAAAUUUUAAAUUUUAAAUAUAUUUUAAAAUAUUAUUUUAUAUUUUAUAUUUCAUAAUUAUUUAUAUUUUUACAUUUAAAUUUUAAAUUUUAUUUAAAUUCUAAAUUUAAAGUUUGAAAAUUUAAUUUAUAUUUAUAUUUUUAUAUAUUAAAAUUUUAUAUUUUAAAAUUCAUAAUUAUAUAUAUUUUUAAAUUUAUAUUUAUAUUUUUAAAUUUUAAAUUUCAUAAUUAUUUAAAAUUUUAAAAUUUAUAUUUUAAAAUUUUAUAUUUUAAAAUUCAUAAAUAUAUAUAUUUUUAGAUUCAUAUUUAUAUUUUUAAUUUUUAAAUUUCAUAAUUAUUUAAAAUUUUAAAAUUUAAAAUUUAAAUUUUUAAUUUUCAAAUUUUAAAUUUAGAUUUUAAAUUAUUUUAAAAUAAAUUUAAUAAAAAUAUUAAUUUAUGCAAACAUCAAAAAAAAGUUGCCAAACAGCUUUUCAAAAUCACUUCAGAAAAAUCACUUUUAUUUAAACUCUGCCAAACGCUCUACAGCUUUUAACCAAAAUCACUUCUCCAAACUAAAAUCACUUUUUCAGAAAUCAUUUUUUCAGAAGCGAGGCCAAACAGGCCCUGAGUCUUUGCUUAAGGGUGGUAGCUCCCCCUCAAGCGGUGCAUUCCGGAAUUAUCACCACGGGAGCGCGGUCCCUAAAGACGGUCCCUCGGGUCUUGCAGUGCUUAGAGCCUCCACGAUCAAAAAGGGAUUUUGAGUUGUUGAGUUCGAGGAGAACUGGGUGAACCUCGAUGCAAUUGGGUAAAAGCCAAGUGAAUGUACAUUAAGCGUUAUGAGCUAUAGAUUGAGUAUCCCUGUCGAGUGGAUUUGGGACUGAGGUGUAUGUGAGACGUCCAUUACCUCGAGCCUGGUAUUGGUGCGAUAUUCCGCAGUUGAUUGACUCGAGACCGAGUCGGGUGGUUAGCUUGGCUAGGGUAGAGAAAAACCUUAGAAGCAAGUAACCAAUGAUUGUAAAGUGACAAGAUGUAUAAAAUUAUGGAAAAGCUAUGAAUAGCAUGAUAGAAAGUAAAAUCCUUCAUUCUACUUGUAUAGUUGCAUGAUUCGCAUAUAGCAUGGCAUUAUUGCAUUCGUAAAGCAAGGCAUGGUUUUAUUAGUUGCAUAAUAAAAAUAUAUAUCUAUCUGUUUAUUGAACUAACUUGCAGUUGCCUUUUUUGAACCUAUUGGUCGAGCUUUUCCCUUGGGUGGCCGUACCCACUGGGAACCAUGGAGUUGGUUCUCACCCCAUAUUGUUUUGGGGUGUUACAGGUUCACGCGUGAGCUGCGCGGCGGCGCGAGGCGAGGGCGUAGCAUCAUAGUUAGCGCUCUACCACCGAGACGAGAGAUAGCGGUACCCCGAGUCGGUUACUUAAGGAUGUAAAGAAUGAAAAGAAUCAAGUUGUAAUAAUCAUAUUAAAUCGGAUUGUAUUUGGAAGUUAAGUGAAAGCUAAUGUAAGAAUCUAAUGAGAUUUGUGAUGCAAAAAUGUAUGAAUGUGAAUGCAUGUAAUAACAUAGAAUGUGUUAUGUUGUUUGAUACCUUCCAUUAUGCAAUCUUGAUUGAAAUGUGUUCCUGGUUGGAACUUCGCACAUUGUAUUGAUUGCUAUGUCUUGAACGUACAGGGGAGACUCUGUCUGCAGUACAGGGGAAACUCUGUCCAUUCGGCGAUCUGUUGGCGUGCCCGAAACCAACCAAAUAGGCGGGCUCGGGGCGUGACAGGUAUAUUACUUGUGUUCUUGCUCUUAGAUGUAUUACACUUGCGUGCAUCGUAUUUGAUCAUGUAUGUUAUUUAAGCAAAUUCCUAGGUGCUUAAUUGUACAUGAUCUGGUUGCUUAGCCUUGGGCGGACAGGAGAGGUGCUGUCCGUUCGACGUCCGUCCGCCGCGCCCGAACCGGACCAGAUUGGUAGCGGUAUCGGGGCGGGGGCGUGACACGCCGGCCUCGAGCUGGGUUGAGCUCGGCUCUAGUGGUUCUGGGUUGGCCGCAGUGAGCUCGGACGGGGACGGCGGGGGCCAGC